UAAGGGAUAUUGCGACAAUGGACGAAAGUCUGACGCAGCAACGCCGCGUGCGGGAUGACGGCCUUCGGGUUGUAAACCGCUUUUCGGGGGGAAGAGGAAGGACGGUACCCCCGGAAUAAGUCUCGGCUAACUACGUGCCAGCAGCCGCGGUAAAACGUAGGAGGCGAGCGUUAUCCGGAUUUACUGGGUGUAAAGCGCGUGCAGGCGGUUUAGCAAGUCGUGCGUGAAAGCGCCCGGCUCAACCGGGCGAGGUCGUGCGAAACUGCUUAACUUGAGGUAGGUAGAGGCGUGUGGAAUUCCGGGUGUAGUGGUGAAAUGCGUAGAGAUCCGGAGGAACACUAGUGGCGAAGGCGACACGCUGGGCCUGACCUGACGCUCAGACGCGAAAGCAUGGGUAGCGAACGG
rnacentral:rRNA from 1 species